rnacentral:rRNA from 1 species
GUGCAAGUCGAACGAUGAAGAGAGCUUGCUCUUGGAUUAGUGGCGAACGGGUGAGUAACACGUGAGUAACCUGCCCUUGACUCUGGGAUAAGCACUGGAAACGGUGUCUAAUACCGGAUACGAGCUUCAGCCGCAUGGCUAGGAGCUGGAAAGAAUUUUGGUCAAGGAUGGACUCGCGGCCUAUCAGCUAGUUGGUGAGGUAACGGCCCACCAAGGCGACGACGGGUAGCCGGCCUGAGAGGGUGACCGGCCACACUGGGACUGAGACACGGCCCAGACUCCUACGGGAGGCAGCAGUGGGGAAUAUUGCACAAUGGGCGAAAGCCUGAUGCAGCAACGCCGCGUGAGGGACGACGGCCUUCGGGUUGUAAACCUCUUUUAGUAGGGAAGAAGCGAAAGUGACGGUACCUGCAGAAAAAGCACCGGCUAACUACGUGCCAGCAGCCGCGGUAAUACGUAGGGUGCAAGCGUUGUCCGGAAUUAUUGGGCGUAAAGAGCUCGUAGGCGGUUUGUCGCGUCUGCUGUGAAAACCCGAGGCUCAACCUCGGGCCUGCAGUGGGUACGGGCAGACUAGAGUGCGGUAGGGGAGAUUGGAAUUCCUGGUGUAGCGGUGGAAU